CACUGCCCUCUUGUGGUUCCCCCUGUGCAGGACCGUUUAGGAACAACAAUAACAGCACAGUAGGAAGGAAACUAGAUCAACAUGAACUCGACACGUAAAAUAGUCAGCAAAACGGAACUACUGGAAUAAUAUCACUGGUUUAAUAUGUUUAUCGUUUUCACUCAGCACUGAACGUUUUCUACAACCACCGCCAGGACACUCGGCUGGGUAACCACCACGAAGAUGUGUUAAAGAUGGACAGUUCUUUGUGUGCAGCCUUCAGGAAGGAUAACGUUAACGUUAUUGUGUAAGGCAGCGAGGUCGAAUAACGUACAAAAACUAACGGUAUUUCGGUUUGCCAAAACAGAAGCGUUCUGUCCUCGAGUGUGCAGUUUUGCUUUCUGGCGCAGCUUGUUCAGAGUAACGUUACGCGGGUGCGAACAAAAUGGAGGGUAAUAAGCUGUUAAAUUGCCUGGUGUAACGUUACAUGGACCUGUGCUUAGCUUAAAAUGCUUGUUCGCCAUGGUUUUAAAGGUGAAUGAACUGUUUUCAUGCUAUUUUGCUUGACAAAAGCCGUGAAGGGAAUUAAGUGAGCUCACUCGUAAAAAAACAAAACAAAAAAACGGAUUUGUAACGUUAACGUUACUUCCAAAAUUUCCAAAGUGUGUCGCAAACUGACGGUAUUGAUUAUGUGCACAAUAAAAACAGGGUGUUCUGUCAUGUGAAACGCUUCACCUGCAGUUUUGUACCAGUAAAAUAUUAAAAGGACGACCAGACACCCCAAAAUGACAGACUCUGGGGAUGCAGCAAGUGUUCCCGGCUCCUCCGGCCGGAGCAGCGGGGCUGGGCUGAGUUUCACUGCGGGCAGAGGACUACCAGGCCGGGUCAGGAGUCUGUCCUCCUCUGCUCCACCUGGAAGACUGACGUCCCUGAGAACAAGGGACCUCACACUGGGGGGAGCCCUCAAAAAAACAAAGAAAACCUUUGAGCCAAAUGUCCACGCUGUGAGGAAAAGCAAAGAUGAGUUAAAGGAAAAGGUCCAUGUGUCUCCAAAAAAGGAGAGAAGAGAGAGGGAUGAGAGGAGGAGAGAGAACAGAGGGAGGAGGAGAGAGAGGCCUCAGACCAUCCAGUCUCACUCCAUCUUUGAACAGGGUCCUGCUGACACUGUACGCAAAACAGGCUGGCGUGGCACUACAGACCUGCAUGACUCCACCACCUCUCCUGUCUGUAAACUGGUGAAGAAAGAGAUGAAAGAGUCAGAGGAGGAUGAAGAUGAGAUACUCAGUAAACUACAGAGGGAUAAUUUCAUAGAUGAUCCAGGUCUGAGGAAUGAUGCCAAGCUGAAACCCAUCCAGCUGCCUCUGAGUCAGUCCAGCAGCUUCACCAAGAGUCAGACUCUUACAACCACCACAGCAUGUCCUGAGAAAGCCCCUCUGUUCAGACCGUCCUGUGGAGCUCAGAGUAAAGCAGGCCACUGUAGGACAGAGCUACCCAAACCAGAGCAGCCAUCUCUGGUAGAAGUGCUGCAGGACCUCCGCCUGUCUGGCAGAGAGGAGCUCUUCUUCAUGCAGUUGCCUGACUGUAUGCCGAGCAGAGCGUCUGCACAGAAGGUCAACACUGCUCUAGAAUCUAAAGCAGAGAAACCUUCCAAGAAGGAAGGAAAGCCUGAAGCCAAGAGGCCUGCACAUCUACAAGAACAGGAGCCUGCGGUGAAGGACGGCUGUCCUGUGCUGUCACAAUUCCCAGAAGGCUUUUUGGGUAAACUGCAGAUCAGGAAGUCCGGAAAGGUGGAGCUGAAGCUGGGUGACAUUGUCAUGGACGUCUCUGAGGGAGCUGCAUUCUCCUUCUUGCAGCAACUGGUGUCUGUGCGUCUGUCCGACGGUCGGACUGGAGACAUAAUGGUGUUAGGGAAUGUGCACCACAAACUGGUCUUAUCUCCGGACUUCCAGACUUUACUGACACAAGCUGCAACAGAGCAGCAGCAAGGACCCUGAUCAUCAGCUGCACAGAGAGCCAGCAGAGCUGAACUGGAAUGUGGAAUACGUUCCAGUUUCCGUUCUGUAGGAUUGUGUUGUUUCGUUACCUCACACACACACACACACACACACACACCACUGUGUAGGGGAAAUGGCUAUUCUCCAGACCUCCGAUUUGAUGCUUCUAAGGCAGCUUUUAUAUAUUUUUAAAAUUCUGUGAAAUCUGUCAAAGUCGAAAUUAUUUUGUUUUGUGAGGAGACAUGUUGUUGUGUGGUAAAUUUAUGCUAUCAGACUCAAUAUACAUAUAUUAUUAAAUAUAACAAGUAUAUGGUAACCUGAGCACGGACUACCCAUUUACUGAUGGUGACUUCUCACUGAGAAGAGAACGCUCUGUAUAUUUUCACUGUUGUUAUUAGGUGUUUGUGAACCAGCAUGUUUUUCUGCCACCUGGACAUCAUUGACAAUUUUGGAUUAAAAAAAGUGGAUUAGACUCUUACACAUCAGCUUCAUAGAGCAACAACAGUUGCCCCGCCCUCACUAAAAAUCCAGAUGUGGCUGACCCUUAGUGGUUGAAUAUGUUACAGUAAGGCAGAGGGUUGGUAUGGAAAGAUCAAGAUUCAAGGCUAUUCAUGGCUCCAAAUCAUAUUCCAUGCUGUUGGCUGCCUCAGGUCCUCAGACACGGACCUGCUGUUUGGACACCGCGGCUUUGGAGUGACCUGCUUUGGGGAGCUCAUGCACACUUUGUCAUCAUCUUCCAUUAAAUCACUUCUUAAAAAGAA